ACAAGAACAUAGGGGCGACACAAGGCUCCCCACCAAACCCUAGCUCUUGUCAAAACUGAUCAAAUUGAGAGUUCAAAUCAGUACCAAAUCGAUUUUGAAGCACGAAUUAGUGAUCACCUUGUUGAAGGGAUCAUAAGGAAAGGAAACCAGAGCGUCAAGUGGACAAGCCGGUGGUGACGCGCGAUUGAAAGGGGUGCUUUGAAAGUUUUGACCUUAGGUGAUGUUGGUCAUGCUCCGGAUGACGAUCAAGCAACAAUUCAAGAACCAAAUACUAUCCUUUGAAGCUUCUGCGGUUAUCUAAUUCAGUUAAAAACAAUGUUUAUGUUGUAGACACUUAAAUUGUCGUUUUGGGAUGUUAAACUUAGUUGGUAGUUAACACGAAUAUGGUAUUUUGUAAA